rnacentral:rRNA from 1 species
AUUGAACGCUGGCGGCAUGCCUUACACAUGCAAGUCGAACGGCAGCACGGGAGCAAUCCUGGUGGCGAGUGGCGAACGGGUGAGUAAUGUAUCGGAACGUACCUUUCAGUGGGGGAUAACGUAGCGAAAGUUACGCUAAUACCGCAUACGAUCUACGGAUGAAAGCGGGGGACUCGCAAGAGCCUCGCGCGAAUGGAGCGGCCGAUAUCAGAUUAGCUAGUUGGUGAGGUAAAGGCUCACCAAGGCGACGAUCUGUAGCGGGUCUGAGAGGAUGAUCCGCCACACUGGAACUGAGACACGGUCCAGACACCUACGGGAGGCAG